rnacentral:rRNA from 1 species
GUUGGAAUUGCUAGUAAUGGCAGGUCAGCAUACUGCCGUGAAUACGUUCCCGGGCCUUGUACACACCGCCCGUCACACCAUGAGAGUUGGAGAUACCCGAAGCCUGUGAGCUAACUUUUUAAGAGGCAGCAGUCGAAGGUAGAAUCAAUGAUUGGGGUGAAGUCGUAACAAGGUAAC